CGGGGGAACGCGAAGAACCUUACCAGGACUUGACAUCCCUCUGAAUCCUCUAGAGAUAGAGGCGGCCUUCGGGACAGAGGUGACAGGUGGUGCAUGGUUGUCGUCAGCUCGUGUCGUGAGAUGUUGGGUUAAGUCCCGCAACGAGCGCAACCCUUAAUCUUAGUUGCCAGCAUUCAGUUGGGCACUCUAAGGUGACUGCCGGUGACAAACCGGAGGAAGGUGGGGAUGACGUCAAAUCAUCAUGCCCCUUAUGUCCUGGGCUACACACGUGCUACAAUGGGCAGUACAACGGGUAGCGAAGCCGUGAGGUGGAGCCAAUCCCAUAAAGCUGCUCUCAGUUCGGAUUGCAGGCUGCAACUCGC
rnacentral:rRNA from 1 species